UUAACUCAACUUUGUAUGGAGUUGGAACGUUUGCCGCUAGGGGCGCUGUUCCAACUGCAUACAAAUUUGAGUUA
rnacentral:pre_miRNA from 1 species